ACGGCGAGUGAAGCGGGAUGAGCUCAAAUUUAAAAUCUGGCUGGUUUACUAGUCCGAAUUGUAGUUUAUAGAAGCGUUUUCGGUGACAGCCUGGGUAUAAAUCCUUUGGAAUAGGGUAUCAUAGAGGGUGAGAAUCCCGUCUUUGACUCAGUGCAUGCUACUAUGUGAUACGUUUUCAAAGAGUCGAGUUGUUUGGGAUUGCAGCUCUAAAUGGGUGGUAAAUUUCAUCUAAAGCUAAAUAUCGACGAGAGACCGAUAGCGAACAAGUACCGUGAGGGAAAGAUGAAAAGAACUUUGCAAAGAGAGUUAAAAAGUACUUGAAAUUGCUAAGAGGGAAGCACUGGAAACCAGUCGUUGACUUGCGUAUAUUUUUACCAUUCGCUCCCGGAUUCAGCUAUUUGUUCAGAGCCCAAAGCCUGACUGGUGGUUGAUGAUGGUGUGAGUGGGUCCUGUAUUGUAAGUCGGAUCAGAAUCAAUUUGAUUUGUGAGAGAAAGCUAUGGCAACGGUAGUUCUAUAAGGGGCAACUCUUAUGGAAUGUUUAGUGCUGUAGUGCUAUCAUAGAUUGGAUUGAGGUACAAUCGUUAAUGCGCACCACUAUGGUUAUCGAUUCCCUGACCCUGACAUAUCAUGAGACGUGAACAAUAAAAUUGUGCUGUUUCAGAAGUGUGUUACUGGAAAGGAUGAAUUAGAUGCAGCAU
rnacentral:rRNA from 1 species